UCCAGACUCCUACGGGAGGCAGCAGUAAGGGAUAUAGCACAAUGGGGGAAACCCUGAUGCAGCGACGCCGCGUGAGUGAAGAAGUAUUUCGGUAUGUAAAGCUCUAUCAGCAGGGAAGAUAAUGACGGUACCUGACUAAGAAGCCCCGGCUAACUACGUGCCAGCAGCCGCGGUAAUACGUAGGGGGCAAGCGUUAUCCGGAUUUACUGGGUGUAAAGGGUGCGCAGGUGGCAGGGCAAGUCAGAUGUGAAAGCCCGGGGCUCAACCCCGGUAUUGCAUUUGAAACUGUCCGGCUAGAGUGCAGGAGAGGUAAGCGGAAUUCCUAGUGUAGCGGUGAAAUGCGUAGAUAUUAGGAGGAACACCAGUGGCGAAGGCGGCUUACUGGACUGUAACUGACACUGAGGCACGAAAGCGUGGGGAGCAAACAGGAUUAGAUACCCCGGUA
rnacentral:rRNA from 1 species